UGACCCUUCGGGGGAAUGAAAUCCUAGAAAGUGGCGAACGGGUGAGUAACGCGUGGGUAACCUGCCCUAUGGAAAGGAAUAGCCUCGGGAAACUGGGAGUAAUGCCUUAUAAUAUACGAGAGUCGCAUGGCUUUUGUAUUAAACGCUCCGGUGCCAUAGGAUGGACCCGCGUCCCAUUAGCUAGUUGGUGAGAUAACAGCCCACCAAGGCAACGAUGGGUAACCGGUCUGAGAGGGCGAACGGUCACACUGGAACUGAGACACGGUCCAGACUCCUACGGGAGGCAGCAGUGGGGAAUAUUGGACAAUGGGGGCAACCCUGAUCCAGCCAUGCCGCGUGAGUGAUGAAGGCCCUAGGGUUGUAAAGCUCUUUUGUGCGGGAAGAUAAUGACGGUACCGCAAGAAUAAGCCCCGGCUAACUUCGUGCCAGCAGCCGCGGUAAUAC
rnacentral:rRNA from 1 species